GGGUCGAUGCCCGAGCGGUUAAUGGGGACGGACUGUAAAUUCGUUGACGCUAUGUCUACGCUGGUUCAAAUCCAGCUCGGCCCA
rnacentral:tRNA from 2 species